rnacentral:rRNA from 1 species
UACGGGGGGGGCAAGCGUUGGUCGGAAUUACUGGGCGUAAAGGGCCCGUUGGCGGCCAUCUAAGUCAGACGUGAAAUCCCCCGGCUUAACCUGGGAACUGCGUCUGAUACUGGAAGGCUUGAGUAUGGGAGAGGGAUGUAGAAUUCCAGGUGUAGCGGUGAAAUGCGUAGAUAUCUGGAGGAAUACCGGUGGCGAAGGCGGCAUCCUGGACCAUUACUGACGCUGAGGCGCGAAAGCUAGGGGAGCAAACGGG